GACAGCAUGGUGUAGUGGUUUGAGUGUUGGACCACAACUCUGGAGACCAGGGUUCAAUUCCCAUUCAGUCA